rnacentral:rRNA from 1 species
GAUGAACGCUAGCGGCAGGCUUAAUACAUGCAAGUCGAGGGGCAGCGCAGUGUAGCACUACAUGGGCGGCGACCGGCAAACGGGUGCGGAACACGUACACAACCUUCCUUCGAGUGGGGGAUCGCCCAGGGAAACUUGGAUUAAUACCCCGUACUAUAUAGGGGUGGCAUCCCUUUUAUAUUCAAGUUGAGGCGCUUGAAGAUGGGUGUGCUUAUGAUUAGGUAGUUGGCGGGGUAACGGCCCACCAAGCCUACGAUCAUUAACUGGUGUGAGAGCACGACCAGUCACACGGGAACUGAGACACGGGCCAGACUCCUACGGGAGGCAGCAGUAAGGAAUAUUGGUCAAUGGACGCAAGUCUGAACCAGCCAGGCCGCGUGCAGGAUGAAGGCCCUCUGGGUUGUAAACUGCUUUUAUCUGGGAAGAAAUGUAUUUAUUCUUAAGUAUUUGACGGUACCAGAGGAAUAAGCACCGGCUAACUCCGUGCCAACCGC